rnacentral:rRNA from 1 species
UACGUAGGGUGCGAGCGUUGUCCGGAAUUACUGGGCGUAAAGCGCAUGUAGGCGGGCGACUAAGUCAGGGGUGAAAACCGUGGGCUCAACCUACGGCUUGCCCUUGAUACUGGUCGUCUUGAGUACAGGAGAGGGAAGCGGAAUUCCCGGUGUAGGGGUGAAAUCCGUAGAUAUCGGGAGGAACACCAGAGGCGAAGGCGACUACCUGGGCCGAUACUGACGCUGAGGUGCGAAAGCGUGGGGAGCAAACAGG